rnacentral:rRNA from 1 species
AGGUCAAGCUACAAAGGGCGCAUGGUGGAUGCCUUGGCACCAGGAGCCGACGAAGGACGUGAUAAGCUGCGAUAAGCUUCGGGUAGACGCAAAUAGUCUGUGAUCCGGAGAUUUCCGAAUGGGGAAACCUACAAUGGAAGCAUUGUACUAUAAAAUGAAUAAAUAGUUUUAUAGGGGUAAACCCGGGGAACUGAAACAUCUAAGUACCCGGAGGAAGAGAAAGAAAAAUCGAUUUCCUUAGUAGCGGCGAGCGAAAGGGAAAGAGCCCAAACCAGGAACUUGUUCCUGGGGUUCGGCUGGACAUUAGAGGUAAAUAGGUUAAUUGAAGAGAGCUGGAAGGCUCCGCCAAAGAAGGUAAAAGCCCUGUAAAUGAAAACCGAAAAAACCCAGUCCAUGCCAGAGUACCACGAGACACGAGAAACCUUGUGGGAAUGAGGGAGGACCACCUCCUAAGGCUAAAUACUACCUGGUGACCGAUAGCGAAGAAGUACCGUGAGGGAAAGGUGAAAAGAACCCCGGGAGGGGAGUGAAAUAGAACCUGAAACCGUGUGUCCACAACCGAUCGAAGCACUUUUAUGUGCGACGAUGUGCUUUUUGUAGAACGAGCCAGCGAGUUACGGUAUGCAGCAAGGUUAAGCACUUAAGGUGCGGAGCCGAAGGGAAACCGAGUCUUAAUAGGGCGACAAGUUGUAUGCUGUAGACCCGAAACCGGGUGACCUAUCCAUGGCCAGGUUGAAGCGGAAGUAAAAUUCCGUGGAGGACCGAACCACGUUGGUGUUGAAAAACCAUGGGAUGAGCUGUGGAUAGCGGAGAAAUUCCAAUCGAACUCGGAGAUAGCUGGUUCUCCUCGAAAUAGCUUUAGGGCUAGCGUCGUGAAUGAGUAAUGGAGGUAGAGCACUGAAUGGGCUAGGGGCUGACAACAGUUACUGAACCCUAUCAAACUCCGAAUGCCAUAUACUUGAAUCACGGCAGUCAGACUACGAAUGAUAAGAUCCGUGGUCAAAAGGGAAACAGCCCAGAUCAUCAGCUAAGGUCCCAAAGUGUAAGUUAAGUGGAAAAGGAUGUGGGACUUCUAAGACAACUAGGAUGUUGGCUUAGAAGCAGCCAUUCAUUUAAAGAGUGCGUAAUAGCUCACUAGUCAAGAGAUCCUGCGCCGAAGAUGUCCGGGGCUAAAACUUACCACCGAAGCUAUGGACUCGAAAGAGUGGUAGAGGAGCAUCCUGUACGGGUUGAAGAUGUACCGUAAGGAGCAUUGGACUGUACAGGAGAGAGUAUGCUGGCAUAAGUAGCGAGAAAUAAGUGAGAAUCUUAUUGGUCGAAAAUCUAAGGUUUCCUGGGGAAGGUUCGUCCGCCCAGGGUUAGUCGGGACCUAAGCCCAGGCCGAAAGGCGUAGGCGAUGGACAAUCGGUUGAUAUUCCGAUACCACAAACUAGCGUUUGACAGAUGGAAUGACGCAGGAGGAUAGGAUGUGCACACUAUUGGAUGUGUGUCUAAGCACUAAGACAGGUCAGAUUGGAAAAUCCGUCAGGCCAAUGUUGAGGUGUUAUAGGGAUCCAAUUUUGGAGAAGUAUCUGAUUUCACACUGCCAAGAAAAGUUUCUAUGGAGCUUGUUUGUGCCCGUACCGUAAACCGACACAGGUAGAUGAGGAGAGAAUCCUAAGACCAUCGGAAGAAUUGUUGUCAAGGAACUAGGCAAAUUGACUCCGUAACUUAGGGAUAAGGAGUGCCCCGAAAGGGGCCGCAGAGAAUAGGCUCAAGCAACUGUUUAUCAAAAACACAGGUUUCUGCUAAAGCGAAAGCUGAAGUAUAGGAGCUGACGCCUGCCCGGUGCUGGAAGGUUAAGGGGAAUACUUAGCGCAAGCGAAGGUAUGAACUUAAGCCCCAGUAAACGGCGGCCGUAACUAUAACGGUCCUAAGGUAGCGAAAUUCCUUGUCGGGUAAGUUCCGACCCGCACGAAUGGCGUAAUGAUUUGAGCACUGUCUCGACAACAAAUCCGGCGAAAUUGUAGUGCAAGUGAAGAUGCUUGCUACCCGCGAUUGGACGGAAAGACCCCGUAGAGCUUUACUGCAGUUUAGCAUUGAGUUUCGGUAUUGCCUGUACAGGAUAGGUGGGAGGCAUGGAAAUCAGGGCGCCAGCCUUGAUGGAGCCGCCCUUGGGAUACCACCCUGGCAGUACUGGAAUUCUAACCGGAGGCCAUGAAACUGGUCACGGGACAUUGUUAGGCAGGCAGUUUGACUGGGGCGGUCGCCUCCAAAAGAGUAACGGAGGCGCCCAAAGGUUCCCUCAGAAGGGUCGGAAAUCCUUCGAAGAGCGCAAAGGCAUAAGGGAGCCUGACUGCGACACAUACAGGUGGAGCAGGGACGAAAGUCGGGCUUAGUGAUCCGGUGGUACCUCGUGGGAGGGCCAUCGCUCAACGGAUAAAAGCUACCUCGGGGAUAACAGGCUGAUCUCCCCCAAGAGUCCACAUCGACGGGGAGGUUUGGCACCUCGAUGUCGGCUCGUCGCAUCCUGGGGCUGAAGUAGGUCCCAAGGGUUGGGCUGUUCGCCCAUUAAAGCGGCACGCGAGCUGGGUUCAGAACGUCGUGAGACAGUUCGGUCCCUAUCCGUCGCGGGCGUAGGAAAUUUGAGAGGAGCUGUCCUUAGUACGAGAGGACCGGGAUGGACCGACCUCUGGUGCACCAGUUGUUCCGCCAGGAGCAUAGCUGGGUAGCUAUGUCGGGAAGGGAUAAACGCUGAAAGCAUCUAAGCGUGAAGCCCACCUCAAGAUUAGAUUUCCCACAGCGUAAGCUGGUAAGACCCCUUGAAGAACACGAGGUUGAUAGGUCAGGAGUGUAAGCAUGGUAACAUGUUCAGCUGACUGAUACUAAUAGGUCGAGGGCUUGACCAAAA